rnacentral:miRNA from 1 species
AUGGCCAGAGCUCACACAGAGG